rnacentral:rRNA from 1 species
AAAUGACUCUCGGCAACGGAUAUCCCGGCUCUCGCAUCGAUGAAGAACGUAGCGAAAUGCGAUACUUGGUGUGAAUUGCAGAAUCCCGUGAACCAUCGAGUCUUUGAACGCAAGUUGCGCCCGAAGCCAUUAGGYUGAGGGCACGUCUGCCUGGGUGUCAYGC